GACGAACGCUGGCGGCGUGCUUAACACAUGCAAGUCGAACGAAGUGGCGAACGGGUGAGUAAUACGUGGGUAACCUGCCCUCCUUUUUGGGAUAAGCCUUGGAAACGGGGUAUAAUACCGAAUAAAGGGGGCUGGGCUCGCGGCCUAUCAGCUUGUUGGUGGGGUGAAGGCCUAACAAGGCGGUGACGGGGAGCCGGCCUGAGGGGGUGACCUGCCACAUUGGGACUGGGGUACGGCCCAGAAUCCUACCGGGGGCAGCAUGUGGGGAUAUUUCAACAGUGGCGAAAGGCUGGUGCAGCUACGCCGCGUGGGGGAAGAAGUCUUUCGGGUUUGAAAACUCUUUCCCUAACGAACGGGGAGGUGGAGAAGAAGCGCCGGCUAACUACGUGCCAGCAGCCGCGGUAAUAC
rnacentral:rRNA from 1 species